AAUCACGGUGGCGCUGACGGAGCAGUCGAAAGGCUGGCCGUUUUUUCUUUAUGCACGGUAUUCCUACCUCCGUCAGCGCUACCCCCUCU
rnacentral:antisense_RNA from 1 species